rnacentral:rRNA from 1 species
UCCGUAGGCGGUGUGGCAAGUCGGUAGUGAAAUCUCUCGGCUUAACUGAGAGGCUGCUGCCGAAACUGCCAUGCUCGAGUGCGAGAGAGGCGAGUGGAAUUGCGGGUGUAGCGGUGAAAUGCGUAGAUAUCCGCAGGAACAUCCGAGGCGAAAGCGGCUCGCUGGAUCGCAACUGACGCUGAGGGACGAAAGCUAGGGGAGCAAACAGGAUUAGAUACCCUGGUAGUCCUAGCCCUAAACCAUCAGGACUUGGGGUUUGCCCUGUACGGGGCAAGUCCCGGAGCUAACGCGUUAAGUCCUGCGCCUGGGGAGUACGGUCGCAAGGCUGAA